rnacentral:rRNA from 1 species
GACAGAGGGUGCAAGCGUUGUUCGGAAUUACUGGGCGUAAAGCGCGUGUAGGCGGUUCGGAAAGUCGGAUGUGAAAGCCCUGGGCUCAACCCAGGAAGUGCAUUCGAAACUCCCGAACUGGAGUCCUGGAGAGGAAGGCGGAAUUCUCGGUGUAGAGGUGAAAUUCGUAGAUAUCGAGAGGAACACCGGUGGCGAAGGCGGCCUUCUGGACAGUGACUGACGCUGAGACGCGAAAGCGUGGGGAGCAAACAGG